UAUGCCAAGAUUGUUAAGUCUCGUUUGGGUCAUUGUUAACCGCAAGUAAUUUUUUAUUUUAGUUUGCUGAAACUCCUUUCACACGAAGAGACUGAUACGCAAAUUGUCAGAAAUAACUUUAGUGCGACCAUAAGAUUCACAAGAGAUUCUGUAAAAUUAAAUUAUCUAAUAUGGAUAACUUGGUUAAAAUGGCUUCAAGCCUAAGUGAUUUAUCGUUGAAAAACAUUGUGAUGAACUAGAAUCUCUUAUUACUCAAAUUUGCAAUGGUAAAAACCCGAGGAAGAUUUCUUAAGGGUGUAGAAAACAUUAGUGCAGGACUGAAAUUAUAUACUGGAAAUAUGAUAAGCUGAUUAUUGGACCGGCCACCUGCUAUAAACUAAGUUAUUUUUUGUAAUUUAAAAAACUUAUGCAUUUUGGUCACAUGACUUAAUCAACAUAAAAUUAUUUUUCUAAUAGCAACAGAUCUCUCUCUUAGAAUUAAUGUGAAUAUGUUUCCUUCUUUUUUAUGUUAGGAGACUCAUUAAUGAUGUUUCUGUUUCUGUAGUACAAGGAAAGCAACCACAAUUAGAAAAAAUACUAAAGAAGAAGAUCUAAGCACAGAAAAGGAAGAAGAAAAGCAAACAUUCAUAAAUGAGACAAUGGAAAUGUUUAUUUUUCUCAUUCUAAUUUUAUUUGAAAUUAAUAAAGCAAUUAUGCCAAAACUUCUAAGAGAGAUUUUGAAUGAAAUUUAAAUAAAUUGGGAUCCUUGAACACUUCUCGAAAGACAAUUGUUAGAAUGUGAAUAAGAAUUCAAGUUUUAUUAAAAGUAUAAUUCAAUUAUUAAAAAUGAUUAUUUUAACAUUUUUUCAAUUACAAUUGAUAAAAUUUAAAUUAAUUUAAUAAUACAGUAGUAAUAUUUAGAAUUUAUUGAAGAUUUUACAUUUUUUUAAGAACAUAAUUUUAAAUUUUCUAUCACACGAUGGACAGAAAAAGUAUAAAUUUGUUCUGAUUGGCUUAGUUUACGAUUUUGAUACAUAUAUUGUUUAUAUUAAGAUUAAUCACCAGUUAUCAA